rnacentral:rRNA from 1 species
UACGUAGGGAGCGAGCGUUGUCCGGAUUCAUUGGGCGUAAAGAGCUCGUAGGCGGCUUGGUAAGUCGGAUGUGAAACCUCCAGGCUCAACCUGGAGUCGCCAUCCGAUACUGCCAUGGCUAGAGUCCGGUAGGGGCCCACGGAAUUCCUGGUGUAGCGGUGAAAUGCUUAGAGAUGACAUAGAACACCCAUUGCGACGGCAGCUUACUACGGAUUGAUUGACACUGAGGCACGAAAGCGUGGGGAUCAAACAGG